CCCUGAAUUCAAGAGUGAUUCUGUGCCCUCCCUGUUCAUUGUUACUAUCGGGAGAGGAUGCCAAAAGCCUUUCUCUGUGUUUUGAAGGUCCAUUUAUGUCCUUGCUAAACCUGGUGCUUUUAAACA